rnacentral:rRNA from 1 species
GACGAACGCUGGCGGCAUGCCUAAUACAUGCAAGUCGAGCGAACAGAUGAAGUGCUUGCACUUCUGACGUUAGCGGCGAACGGGUGAGUAACACGUAAGGAAUCUACCUAUAAGCGGGGGAUAACAUUCGGAAACGGGUGCUAAUACCGCAUAAUAUCUUCUUCCGCAUGGAAGAAGAGUGAAAGACGGCUCUGCUGUCACUUAUAGAUGACCUUGCGGUGCAUUAGUUAGUUGGUGGGGUAAUGGCCUACCAAGACGAUGAUGCAUAGCCGACCUGAGAGGGUGAUCGGCCACACUGGGACUGAGACACGGCCCAAACUCCUACGGGAGGCAGCAGUAGGGAAUCUUCCGCAAUGGGCGAAAGCCUGACGGAGCAAUGCCGCGUGAGAGAAGAAGGCCUUCGGGUCGUAAAACUCUGUUAUAAGAGAAGAACAAAUUGUAGAGUAACUGCUACAGUCUUGACGGUAUCUUAUCAGAAAGCCACGGCUAACUACGUGCCAGCCGCCGCCGUAA